rnacentral:rRNA from 1 species
AGCUUAAUGAUUUAUAUAUUAAGUAUUUUCUGCUCAAUGAUUAUUCACUAAUUAAAUAGCCGCAGUACCUUGACUGUGCUAAGGUAGCAUAAUAACUUGGCCUAUAAUUGAGGUCUAGAAUGAAAGGAGAUACCUGUGAGUGACUGUCUUGUUAGGGUUAAUUUGAAGUUUUUUAUUAGGUGCAAAUACCUAAAGGAAUAUAUUAGACGAGAAGACCCUUAGAGUUUUUAUUAGUAUUAUUAUAAUAUUUUUGUUGGGGCAACAUAGGAAUAAUUUAACUUUCUUGAACGUAUAGCAUAACAUGUCGAAUUCAUAUUAAGACUGAAUAUAACUACCUAAGGGAUAACAGCAUUAUCUUUAAUAAGGAUUGUGACCUCGAUGUUGGAUUAGGUAAAUUUGAUAUAAGCAAUAUCAUCUAAAGGUUCUGUUCGAACUUAAACACCU